UACGGAAGGCAGCAGUGGGGAAUAUUGCACAAUGGGCGCAAGCCUGAUGCAGCCAUGCCGCGUGUAUGAAGAAGGCCUUCGGGUUGUAAAGUACUUUCAGUCGUGAGGAAGGUGUUAAGGUUAAUAACCUUAGCAAUUGACGUUAGCGACAGAAGAAGCACCGGCUAACUCCGUGCCAGCAGCCGCGGUAAUACGGAGGGUGCGAGCGUUAAUCGGAAUUACUGGGCGUAAAGGGCACGCAGGCGGUUAAUUAAGUUGGAUGUGAAAUCCCCGGGCUUAACCUGGGAAUGGCAUUCAAGCUGGUUAGCUAGAGUCUUGUAGAGGGGGUAGAACUCCAUGUGUAGCGGUGAAAUGCGUAGAGAUGUGGAGGAAUACCGGUGGCGAAGGCGGCCCCUGGACAAAGGACUGACGCUCAUGUGCGAAAGCGUGGGGAGCGAAACAGGGAUUAGAUACC
rnacentral:rRNA from 1 species